UUAUUUUUAACGGCCGCGGUAUCCUAACCGUGCAAAGGUAGCGUAAUCACUUGUCCCCUAAAUAGAGACCAGUAUGAACGGCUAAAUGAGGACCUAACUGUCUCCUGUGACCAAUCAAUGAAACUGAUCUCCCAGUACAAAAGCUGGAAUCAAUACAUAAGACGAGAAGACCCUGUGGAGCUUCAAACAACACCACUACCAACACCCUGAUCAACUCCAACAGGACACACCACCUAUACAUAUUAGUGAUAGUUUUAAGUUGGGGCGACUACGGAGUAAAAUAUAACCUCCACGAACCAGGGCCAACCCCACCCUAGGCCAACAAGCCAAAGAACAAAAUACUACGACCCAGUACCACUGAUCACCGAACCAAGUUACCCCAGGGAUAACAGCGCCAUCCUCUUCAAGAGUCCAUAUCGACAAGAGGGUUUACGACCUCGAUGUUGGAUCAGGGCCCCCAGGUGGUGCAGCCGCUACCAAAGGUUCGUUUGUUCAACGAUUAAUGCCCUACGUGAUCU
rnacentral:rRNA from 1 species